UAAUUUAAGCGGACCUAAUUAACUUGGAGUGUCGAGGUUCAUAACUUAUUGAAUUGAUAACUGGAAAUCGAUUUACGUUGCAUAUAUUUCAUGUGUGGAGAAGAACCCCUUAGCUAUUCCAUCAUCCAUUGAUUCAUCACAAUUUUGUCUUACAAUCUGUUUUCUUUACAAUCUGUCCAUUUAGUUUAUUUUCGUCCAAAUCAAAUCCCCAUUUAUUUUGAAGUCCUAGAUUAGUUAAAAAGUGUGUUGGUUUAUGUUUUUAAGUGUUUUGGUACAAGUUAAAACCCAAAUUCGUCCAAUUUGGUGCUUUGUGUCAAAACUGCCCAGAAAGUGUUUUUAAGGCAGUUUUGAGUCUUUUAGUUGCUGUUUUGAGUUUUUGGUUUGUUUUAGUAUUUUAAACGUUAGUUUUGCAUUCUUUGAGUCUAAUCUAGUGUUUUAAACUUUGUUUUUGCGUUUCUAAUUCAGUUUUCAAGUGAUUAGUGCCCCUAGUUAAUCCCCGGUUAGAACGAUCCCUACUUACAUCAUUACUACAAUUGUCACAAAUAGGGUUUAAUUUGUGUGUCAACAUCAUUACUACAAUUGCCAUUCAAGUUGGAUUGUUAGAGCGUUUUUAGGUGUUUUCAUUCUUUUGUUUUCAAUGUCUAAAUUUGUUUAUCUUUGCUUUGUGAGUAUGAGGAACUAAACCCCCCUUAGCUAGGGGGGAAUUUGAAACCAUGUUCAUGCUUGCAAUAUGAUUUGAUUACCUUCAGUUGUGAUUUCAUAAGUUGUGAAUUCAAUUUGUUUAACUGCUUGAUUGAUAACUUAUUCAUGUAUGUUUAUUAAGAGUCCACACUUAGUUUGCAUGCAUGAAAAUGAUGCUAGAGUAUAAGGGAGUUUCACCUAAUAGUUACAAACUUAUAUUCACAAGUAGUGGAGGUUGAUAGGAGCAUAUUUAUGCGCCUUAGUUAGCUAGUUCUUAUGCAUCUUUGUUAUGUUUUCUUCGUUAAAGUAGUCUUUUAAGCUACUUUCAUGUGUUUUCAGGUUUAAAGGACAUAUUACAUGAAAUGAUGCAAUUUGGAGCUUUUGGAGCAAAAAGUGAGCUUGGAAUGAAAAGGACAUGCUUGGAACACAAGGUUGGGAUGAAAUUGAAGAGUUGAAGAUUUGAGGUUUCCUACUUGAAGUAGGAAAGCUAAGCCUAAAAGUUUCCAUUUUGGGUUGAUCUUUCCUAAAUCGGAAUUGGCAACCAAAGUUUCUAAAAGUUGGAAGUUUCUAUUCUUGGAGGUUUCCAUUUUCGUGAGUUUCUAUUCUCGGCUUUGGGCUUUUGGAUGACCCAUCCUCACUUCUUGGACCUAUGCCGCACCUUAAACCCUAAUCCUAGCCCAUUUAAUCAGCCACACCCUAGGGCCUAAUCAUUUUAAAUUCUGCCAAGUUAAACCCUAAUCUAUCUACCCUAAGCCCAAGCCGCACCCUAGGCCUUUUCCCAUGCAAAAAUCUGAUUGUAAACCCUAAUUCCUUGUGGAUUUUCUAACCCUAGCCGCACCUAAACCCUAGCCCAUUGUCUAACCUGAUUUCUUUAGGGUUUUAGGUGCCUAUAUAUAUGUGUUUUACAUCCUUUGGCCGAUCAUCACCCUCUCCAUAAUUCAGAAAUUCGUCCAGCCACUUCCCACUCUGUGCCGCAGCCAUUCUACAACUCCAGCCACCAUUCUACACUUCCAUACACCAUUCUACACACCUCCAUACACCACCCCAUACCCUUGCCGCACCACCAUACCAUCCUAACUCCCUUCUAAAACCAAAAUCACAUCCAAAAACACCCUAAACCCUCUCUGCCGCAGCAAGGAGAAGAAGAAAGAGGAGCUUGAAGUCAGAAAUUCAAAGUGGAAUUCGUGGGCGUUUUAGGUGUAAUCUUUCCUAUGUCUUCGAUGUUUCAAUUCAAUAAACUUUGUGUUGUGAGUAUGAGGAACUAAACCCCCUUAGUUGGGGGGUAAUUCGAAACCAUGUAUACGCUUGCAAUAUGAUUUGAUUACAUUCAGUUGUUAUUUCAUAAGUUGUGGAUUCAAUUCGUUCAUCUAUUUGAUUGAUGACUUAUUUGUGUAUGUUGAUUGAGAGUGCACGCUUAGUUUUCAUGCAUGAAUAUGAUGCUAGAUUAUGAGGGAGUUUCACCUAAUAGUUAUAAUCUUAUAAUCACAAGUAGUGAAGGUCGCUUGAAAACGAUCGCGUUGAAUGAAUUCUUAGCAUAAGUUUCAUGCAAUUCAUAGUAAUGAAUGCUUCGUCAAUGCUUAUGUUUUUCAUAGAACUUAAUGAUUCUUGCUUGUAUCUCUAUUAUGCAAUUCAUGUAGGGAACUUGUAGGGAAUGUUUUGGGUUGUCGUAUGCAAUCAUCCAACUUGAUAACUUAUGGAAAAACUGAGGGUUAAUUAGUGCAAUUCACGGUUAAUUUGGGGCAUUGAGUAUUUAUAAUUUAUUGGAAGAACAACUGAAAAUCGUUUUGUUUGCAAGUGUGACAUGUGUGGAGAAGAACCUCCUAACUAGCCUUUUAUCCAUCUAUUUCACCAAAAUCGUUUUUACAAUCUGUGCUAGUUAAAGUUUCUGUUUUGUGUUAAAUUUUCGUCCAAAACAAAUCCCCCUUUAAUUUGAAGUCUUAGAUUAGUUAGAAAGUGUUUUGAUUUGUGUUUCUAAGUAUUUUGAUUCAAGAUUUCAUCAAAUUUCGUCCAAAUUAGUGUAGGUGCUCAAAACUGCCCAGAAAGUGGUUUUUAGGCAGUUUUGAGCCUUCUAGUUGCUGUUUUGAGUUUUAGGUUUGUUUAAGUGUUUUAACCUUUACUUUUGCAUUCUUUGAGUCUAAGUUUAGUGUUUUAAACUUUGUUUUUGAGUUUUUAAGUCAGUUUCCAAGUGUUUAGCAAUCCCUCCUAAUCCCCGGUCUAGAACGAUCCCUACUUACAUACUUUACUACAUUUGUCAAAAGAGGGUUUAAUUUGUGUGCUUAAUAUAUUUCGCAUCAGAGGUCGCUUAUAAACGAUCGCGUUAAAUAAAUUCUUGGCAAGAGUUUCAUGCUCAUCAUAGUAACGAAUGCCUCGUCAAUACUUAUAGUUUUCAUAAUGCUUAAUGAUCUUUGAUUGUAUCUUUAUUGUGCUGUUCACGUAAAGAACUUUUGAAGAAUGCUUGAAUUGUUGUAUGUGCUUUCCCAUCCAAUUCAAUAACUUAAGGAGAACUUGAAGGUUAAUUUAAGCGGACUUAAUUAACCUGGGGUGUUGAGUUUCAUGAUUGAUCGAAAGAACAACUGAAAAUUGGUUUAUGUGCAAGUAUGUCAUG
rnacentral:lncRNA from 1 species